rnacentral:rRNA from 1 species
GACAGAGGUGCCAAGCGUUAGGCGGAAUCACUGGGCUUAAAGCGUGUGUAGGCGGGCGGGCAAGUACCUUGUGAAAUCCCACGGCUCAACCGUGGAACUGCUGGGUAUACUGCCUGUCUUGAGCCAGCCAGGGGCAGUCGGAACAGACGGUGGAGCGGUGAAAUGCGUAGAUAUCGUCUGGAACGCCAAAGGUGAAAACAGACUGCUGGGGCUGUGCUGACGCUGAGACACGAAAGCCAGGGGGAGCGAACGGG